GAUACGAUCCGAGGAGAUCAACUCUGAAGAUAAGGCAACAGGCGAAUUGAGAUCGUGACUUGGAGGGACAGAUGCGAUGAUAUUGGCGUGAUGAAGCGAUGGUGGCGCGAUGAGAGAUCGAUGGAGGGAGAUGGUGGUGUGAUGCGGCGGAUCGAUGGUUUGAGAUGGUGGUGGAUGGAUUCGUCGAUGGAUCGUGAGAGGGAUGUGAU
rnacentral:lncRNA from 1 species